GGCGCGUAUUCGGCGGUCACGCGGGCAUUGGCUGGAGCCGUACGCUACUACGGUGCUCCACUUAGUAGUUGUUUACGCUGACUAGCUUUAGGAUUUUUCUUUGGGGCAGGGUUUUAUUCAGUCUUCCCUUGCGGCUGCGAACCUGUUACAUACUUGCUGGUCUCUGUAAGGUGUGUGUCCUUGAUAUUAGGGGGUUAUUGGAGGCUGUUUACACAUAAUGCUGUUGUGUGGUAACUCGGAGGGCCCAAGAAUAAGCAGAAGCCACCCACACGUCACGCAGUUCCAUUAGUCUGAUUUAUAGCGGCCAUUGGCCCUGCUGCAUCAGUGCCUAGAUGACAUCGGCAACCAGCACCUCCCACCAAUGCACGCCCAGUCCUUCUCAGUGGCUGCUGCUCUCUGGAAAAAAAAGUGAAAAAAAGAGAUGGCCGACGGCUGCCCUGACUUGCUGUAGCUGUAACAGGACAGGAAAUCAGGAGAAAGGGAGGAGCGUGAUAAGAAAUGCUAAGAUAACAAAUAAAGUGGACCCAAAAGGAGACUGGAGGCUAAGCCGAGCAGAGGAGACCACGUUCCUUGUUAAAGGGAAAGGAAAGUCUUUUUAACUUGGGGGUGCCACAAUUUAGGCAUCCCAAGUGAUUUUAUUUACUUAACUGAUAACCCAGGCUGCUGCUCCUGUCAACAGAUAACUGCACCGGCCCAGGGUUCUUCCAGAGAUCCAGAGUGAUUCUCUUUUUCCACUUCUUCAGACAUAACUGCACAGUGGUGUGAAAUAGCUGUUUUUUUUUUCUGUUGUUAAAGUAUGGCUUUUCACUCUGCUGUGUAUGCACAGCUGCGGGAAUAAAGAAUAAGCAUGAACAGGAUCCCUCUGUGUAGCUCACUGGGCCUCUGCAGUUUUCUAUUGAUAGGAGCAGCAGCCCUGGGUAUAUACAAUCACUUAGAGCUGCCUAACUUUUGGUACCUUUAAGUAAAAAACUUGCUUCUCCUUUAAAGGGAUGGGAUCUCUCACAUCUUUCCCUGUGUGAUGUGAUGAAAGCCCAAGGAGGAAGUUAUGGACUGAAGAGCUACUGCACAUUCCUUUCCUCUCCUGCUUCAUUUGCAUGUCUUCGACCCAACUGGCUGGCAAGAUUUUACAUAAGAGAAUUAAUUUAAUUUAUGUACAAGAAUAUGACUUUGAUUUUAUCAUUAUAAACAAUUGAAAUGUACUAUGCCACAAAAGAGAUCAUAUUCAGUUAAUCUAUCCAUAGAAAUAUAUAUAUAUAUAUAUAUAAAUGUCAGCACGAAAGAAACAAAAAAUAAACAUUAAGAAACAUGUUCUGCGUUCUCUAAUGAACCAGUGUGGCAGAAGAUUUAGGGGUAGAUUUAUCAAAAUGUAAGAUCAGAGCUC